rnacentral:rRNA from 1 species
AACGCUGAGAGAGGAGCUUGCUCUUCUUGGAUGAGUUGCGAACGGGUGAGUAACGCGUAGGUAACCUGCCUUGUAGCGGGGGAUAACUAUUGGAAACGAUAGCUAAUACCGCAUAACAAUGGAUGACACAUGUCAUUUAUUUGAAAGGGGCAAUUGCUCCACUACAAGAUGGACCUGCGUUGUAUUAGCUAGUAGGUGAGGUAAUGGCUCACCUAGGCGACGAUACAUAGCCGACCUGAGAGGGUGAUCGGCCACACUGGGACUGAGACACGGCCCAGACUCCUACGGGAGGCAGCAGUAGGGAAUCUUCGGCAAUGGGGGCAACCCUGACCGAGCAACGCCGCGUGAGUGAAGAAGGUUUUCGGAUCGUAAAGCUCUGUUGUAAGUCAAGAACGGGUGUGAGAGUGGAAAGUUCACACUGUGACGGUAGCUUACCAGAAAGGGACGGCUAACUACGUGCCAGCAGCCGCGGUAAUACGUAGGUCCCGAGCGUUGUCCGGAUUUAUUGGGCGUAAAGCGAGCGCAGGCGGUUUGAUAAGUCUGAAGUUAAAGGCUGUGGCUCAACCAUAGUUCGCUUUGGAAACUGUCAAACUUGAGUGCAGAAGGGGAGAGUGGAAUUCCAUGUGUAGCGGUGAAAUGCGUAGAUAUAUGGAGGAACACCGGUGGCGAAAGCGGCUCUCUGGUCUGUAACUGACGCUGAGGCUCGAAAGCGUGGGGAGCGAACAGGAUUAGAUACCCUGGUAGUCCACGCCGUAAACGAUGAGUGCUAGGUGUUGGAUCCUUUCCGGGAUUCAGUGCCGCAGCUAACGCAUUAAGCACUCCGCCUGGGGAGUACGACCGCAAGGUUGAAACUCAAAGGAAUUGACGGGGGCCCGCACAAGCGGUGGAGCAUGUGGUUUAAUUCGAAGCAACGCGAAGAACCUUACCAGGUCUUGACAUCCCGAUGCUAUUUCUAGAGAUAGAAAGUUACUUCGGUACAUCGGUGACAGGUGGUGCAUGGUUGUCGUCAGCUCGUGUCGUGAGAUGUUGGGUUAAGUCCCGCAACGAGCGCAACCCCUAUUGUUAGUUGCCAUCAUUCAGUUGGGCACUCUAGCGAGACUGCCGGUAAUAAACCGGAGGAAGGUGGGGAUGACGUCAAAUCAUCAUGCCCCUUAUGACCUGGGCUACACACGUGCUACAAUGGUUGGUACAACGAGUUGCGAGUCGGUGACGGCGAGCUAAUCUCUUAAAGCCAAUCUCAGUUCGGAUUGUAGGCUGCAACUCGCCUACAUGAAGUCGGAAUCGCUAGUAAUCGCGGAUCAGCACGCCGCGGUGAAUACGUUCCCGGGCCUUGUACACACCGCCCGUCACACCACGAGAGUUUGUAACACCCGAAGUCGGUGAGGUAAC